rnacentral:tRNA from 1 species
CACGAGGUGGCUGAAAGUAAGCAAUGGUCUCUUAAACCAAUAUAUAGUAGUUUAACAUCUACUCCUAGUGA